rnacentral:rRNA from 1 species
UCUAGUAUAAGCAUUAUACCGUGAAACUGCGAAUGGCUCAUUAAAUCAGUUAUCGUUUAUUUGAUAGUACCUUACUACUUGGAUAACCGUGGUAAUUCUAGAGCUAAUACAUGCUAAAAACCCCGACUUCGGGAGGGGUGUAUUUAUUAGAUAAAAAACCAAUGCCCUUCGGGGCUCUUUGGUGAUUCAUGAUAACUUAACGGAUCGCAUGGCCUUGCGCCGGCGACGGUUCAUUCAAAUUUCUGCCCUAUCAACUUUCGAUGGUAAGGUAUUGGCUUACCAUGGUUUCAACGGGUAACGGGGAAUUAGGGUUCGAUUCCGGAGAGGGAGCCUGAGAAACGGCUACCACAUCCAAGGAAGGCAGCAGGCGCGCAAAUUACCCAAUCCCGACUCGGGGAGGUAGUGACAAUAAAUACUGAUACAGGGCUCUUUUGGGUCUUGUAAUCGGAAUGAGUACAAUUUAAACCCCUUAACGAGGAACAAUUGGAGGGCAAGUCUGGUGCCAGCAGCCGCGGUAAUUCCAGCUCCAAUAGCGUAUAUUAAAGUUGUUGCAGUUAAAAAGCUCGUAGUUGAACCUUGGGCCUGGCUGGCCGGUCCGCCUCACCGCGUGUACUGGUCCGGCCGGGCCUUUCCUUCUGGAGAGCCGCAUGCCCUUCACUGGGUGUGUCGGGGAACCAGGACUUUUACUUUGAAAAAAUUAGAGUGUUCAAAGCAGGCCUUUGCUCGAAUACGUUAGCAUGGAAUAAUAGAAUAGGACGUGCGGUCCUAUUUUGUUGGUUUCUAGGACCGCCGUAAUGAUUAAUAGGGAUAGUCGGGGGCAUCAGUAUUCAAUUGUCAGAGGUGAAAUUCUUGGAUUUAUUGAAGACUAACUACUGCGAAAGCAUUUGCCAAGGAUGUUUUCAUUAAUCAGUGAACGAAAGUUAGGGGAUCGAAGACGAUCAGAUACCGUCGUAGUCUUAACCGUAAACUAUGCCGACUAGGGAUCGGGCGAUGUUUCUAUCUUGACUCGCUCGGCACCUUACGAGAAAUCAAAG